rnacentral:rRNA from 1 species
AUACGUAGGUGGCGAGCGUUGUCCGGAAUUACUGGGCGUAAAGGGUGCGUAGGCGGAUGAUCAAGUCAGAUGUGAAAGUCCAUGGCUUAACUGUGGGAGUGCAUUUGAAACUGGUCAUCUAGAGUGCAGGAGAGGGAAGCGGAAUUCCUAGUGUAGCGGUGAAAUGCGUAGAUAUUAGGAAGAACACCAGUGGCGAAGGCGGCUUUCUGGACUGUAACUGACGCUGAAGCACGAAAGCGUGGGGAGCAAACAGGAUUAGAUACCCUGGUAGUCCACGCUGUAAACGAUGAGUGUUAGGUGUAGGGGACGAUAGUCUUCUGUGCCGGAGCAAACGCAAUAAACACUCCGCCUGGGGAGUACGGUCGCAAGACUAAA